rnacentral:rRNA from 1 species
GAUGAACGCUGGCGGCGUGCCUAAUACAUGCAAGUCGAGCGAACGGACGAGGAGCUUGCUUCUCUGAUGUUAGCGGCGGACGGGUGAGUAACACGUGGAUAACCUACCUAUAAGACUGGGAUAACUUCGGGAAACCGGAGCUAAUACCGGAUGAUAUUUUGAACCGCAUGGUUCAAAAGUGAAAGACGGUCUUGCUGUCACUUAUAGAUGGAUCCGCGCUGCAUUAGCUAGUUGGUAAGGUAACGGCUUACCAAGGCAACGAUGCAUAGCCGACCUGAGAGGGUGAUCGGCCACACUGGAACUGAGACACGGUCCAGACUCCUACGGGAGGCAGCAGUAGGGAAUCUUCCGCAAUGGGCGAAAGCCUGACGGAGCAACGCCGCGUGAGUGAUGAAUGUCUUCGGAUCGUAAAACUCUGUUAUUAGGGAAGAACAUAUGUGUAAGUAACUGUGCACAUCUUGACGGUACCUAAUCAGAAAGCCACGGCUAACUACGUG